UACGGGGGGAGCAAGCGUUGUUCGGAUUUACUGGGCGUAAAGGGCGCGUAGGCGGCCACCGCAAGUCAAUUGUGAAAUCUCCGGGCUCAACCCGGAACGGUCAACUGAUACUGCGGGGCUAGAGUGCAGAAGGGGCAACUGGAAUUCUCGGUGUAGCGGUGAAAUGCGUAGAUAUCGAGAGGAACACCUGCGGCGAAGGCGAGUCCCUGGACAACACCUGACACUGAGGCACGAAAGCUAGGGGAGCAAUCGGG
rnacentral:rRNA from 1 species